ensembl:snRNA Gm24611 predicted gene, 24611
CUGCUGACUUUGGCAGCACAUAUUCCAAAAUUCGAACGAUACAGAGAAGAUUGGCAUGGCCCCUGUGCAAGGACGGCAUGCAAAUACAUGAAGCAUUCCAUAUUUUU